GAAUUUUAUAUAAAUUUAUUAAAAUUAAUUAGUUAUAAUAGUGUAUAAUAUAUUUAUAUUUUGUUGGGAGGAUAAUUAAAUUAAAAAAACUUUAAUAAUAAGUAGAACAUUAAUUUAUGAAUAAUAAAAAGGAGUGAUUAAUAGAAUUAGUUAGAAUUAAUUACCUUAGGGAUAACAGCAUAAUAUCUUUAGAGAGAUCUUAUUAAUAAAGAUGAUUGU
rnacentral:rRNA from 1 species